rnacentral:rRNA from 1 species
UACGGAGGGGGCGAGCGUUAUUCGGAAUUACUGGGCGUAAAGGGCGCGUAGGCGGCCAGCGCAAGUCAGUUGUGAAAUCUCCGGGCUUAACUCGGAACGGUCAACUGAUACUGCGCGGCUAGAGUGCGGAAGGGGCAACUGGAAUUCUCGGUGUAGCGGUGAAAUGCGUAGAUAUCGAGAGGAACACCUGCGGCGAAGGCGGGUUGCUGGGCCGACACUGACGCUGAUGCGCGAAAGCCAGGGGAGCGAACGGG